rnacentral:lncRNA from 1 species
UAUAUUCGUUGGUGAUACAAUCACGGAGGGAAAAACGAAACAAGGGUCAUUUUCGAAGCAUUUUUUGUGAGAGACGAACUGAAUGAGAUAUGAAUAUUUUCCACGGUUCAAGAAAACGCAUAUUUUUUUAUGGACGCGACUAGCCAGUAACCGUUGGCUGGCUAGCGGUCCAGAGCACACACCCUAAUAUUGGUAGUGGACCUCUCCCAGAUCCAGCUGGCAAACCCAAAAAGGAAAGAAAUGGCCCCCUCACGCACAUGGCCCCCAGGGGCGAGUCUAUCACAAUCGUAACUUCAGCUCCCCCUACUGACAUUAGCAGUAGCCUCACGCCGACGCACCAAAUCCUCCUUCCCCUUUCCAGUCGCAGACCCCCAAACCUCCCCCUUGACCUCUCCUUCUCCAUCUGUCCUCUCUUCCAUUGUCACAAUUGUUGCCCCCGUUUUGGUGGCCAUGGACCUGAGGGGUGAGCUUCUAUCUUGAUGUGCCCUCUCAGACGCCUUCUCUUUUACAAAAGCCUGUGGAACGAAGGGUUUAUCAAUUAUAGAAUAUACAACAACAUGGCAGUUAAUGCUUGUGAAAUUGCAAAAAAGAACUACUGAGACAUUAUGCAUGCAAAAUAAUCUGUUUUUUAUGGGAAAGUUGGUAUGAUGUGCAGGCAACUCUGGAAUGAUUUCUAGGCAACUCAUGAUGGAAACACAGGGAAACCCCUCUCUUGAAAUUACUAUUCUAGUUUAAGCUUGGAUUUUUUGCAAGUAUCUGCAGAGUGUUGUAGGUUGCGCGAGGCUGUUGUUUUUUUGGUUGAUCUUCAAGCUUGUUAAGGCUUUUGGGAAAGUUGUGUAUAUGUGUAGGCAAUCAGGGAGAAAAUAAUGCAGGCAGCUCAUGUUUCUUGUGUUGUAGAAAAAUAAAUUAAGGAGAAAAGAGGUCUUGAAAGUUACAGGGUUUGGCUUUUAUUAGUGAAUUUUGGGGCAAAUGUCUCCUUGAACUAUAGGUUGCACAAUUGUAGUAGUAGCUGUUGUGUUUCGUUGUGAAUUUUGCUACUGGAUUUUGGGCAAUGUAUGUAUCUGGGAUUUGCUCUAACUGUAGCUGCUGUGUUGGUUGUGUUUCUAGCUGUUUACAUAUCUAGACAAGUUUCUAUAAUAUUUGGGCAAGUAGGGAAAGCUUUAUAGGCAACUCAUGUUUAUUUAGUUCUGUGAAUAAAAAGAAACAUAACCCUCUUGAAGUUAUGGUUUUAGCUUGUGCUUUGGAUUUUGGACAUGUAUCUCCUGGGGCUGAUGUGUAUGCAGGUGAAAAAGAGAUUGAUUUAUUGUCCACCCAUGCUCAAAACCCCAAUAAGCAAAAAAUAUAUAUAAAUGUUUGCACCUUUAUAUGGGUUUAUUCUAAGCAAAACUUGCAUAUAAAAUUCCAGCAAAAUUGACACAUAUUUUGCUCGCACAAUAUUUAUGUAACGAACCCACAUAUCGAAUCAGAAUGACCUAGCGUGUAGAGGAGGAAAAUAAAGAGAAGGUUUGAAUUUUUCUCACCUUGUUCAUCCUGAUUGCAACUAUUUUUCCAGUAUUUCCCCCUUGUUUCUUCCGGCAUGAGCAUCUAGUACACCACCAAUUGCGAGAAAACGGUAAAAAAGGAAUUAGUGAGCAACUAUAGCGGGUUUUUAAGCAAAUCAAGUAUUGACAAAAGGCUAGUCCUGCCAGUACAUGAAAAUUGUUUUGUUUUCCUUUGUCUAACUAUUGGAUGUUGUACAUCCAGAGAAACCCCUUGAUGCUUUUCUUAAGUUGCCUUUUAUACUAGGACUGUGUUGAGAAAACAAAAAAAUCUCCAAGCUCUAGGAUUUGUUUAAGCAAAGUCACUGUUGGCACUAAACUACUCUUGUAUGUUUGAAGCAACUCCACUUAUUUUGCUGAAACAAAAAAGUUGGAUAUCUUUCUGCGAAGCUUACUUGAAAGUGGGUGUUGAACCAUCUUGCUUGGGCGUGUGCACAAAACCUCAAAAAUGUUGCUUUGACUUUAGAAUUUAGUGAGGCCCUGUAAACAAAAAAAACAAUCUGUUUAGGCAAGAAUAUCGACAAAACCAUAUUUACAAAAACUUAGGUGAUUUAGGCAAGUACUAUUUAUAAGUAGACAACUUAUCCUGUUGGAAAACACAACUUUUGUGCAACUAAAAUCAUUUUUUUGCUAAAAAAUAUCUCUCGUCAACUCGUGCCACACUCUCUAGUAACAAACUAUCAUGCAUUGGGCAAGUUUUGGUGAAAUAAAACCCAAUGUUCUCGGUAGCGGAUCUUUGGGCAACUCACGCCAGCAUCUCUAGCAACUAACUAUCAUGCAUUGGGCAAGUUUGGACACAUUCGGCUCAAAUCAUUGACGAUUUCAGCCCCCGCAUCUCGGCAGUGGAUCAUUGUGCAACUCACACCAGCAUCUCUAGCAACUAACUAUCAUGUGUUGGGCAAGUUUUUGACACUUUCGGCUCAAAUCAUAGACGAUUCCAGCGCCCGCAUCUCGGGAGCGGAUCUUUGGCAACUUAUGCCGACAUUUCUAGCAACUAACGAUUAUGCGUUGGGCAAGUUUUUGAAACUUUUGGCUCAAGUCCGAGACGAUUCCAGCCCCCACAUAUCGAGAGCGGAUCUUUUGCAACUUACACAAGCAUCUCUAACAACUACCUAUCUUGCGUUGGGCAAGUUUUUUCGGCUAGAAUCAUCGAUGUUUCUAGCCCUCCAUCUUGGGACCGGAUCUUUGGGUGACUUAUGCAGGCAUCUAUAGCAACUAACUGUCAUGCGUUGGGCAAGUUUCAAAAACUUUCUGCUGAAAUCAUACAAGAUUCCAGCCCCCACAUCCCCAAGUCACAAACCACCGCCGCGCUCAAAAUCGUUGGUUUGCCCAUAAACAUGGGACCCCCACACCCCUCUUCAACCUCCCUAUUCCGCCUAUAUCACAUAGAAUUGUAUAUAUGAGUAGAAAAACACAUGCUUAGGGGGUCGAUUUCAAGAUACUUACGAGGAUUUGCGGGCUAGUUCCUCAACCACUCGAGAUAACGCUUUCCCAGAUCUAACUCCACCACACUAGGUGGCCGUGACGCACAGAUGGCACUGCCCCCUUGUCUCUAGAAGAAAGCAUGUUUCCUGGCUAGAUCAAUGCCCAAAAAUGUUAUAGAUUGACUAGAAGAAAGCAUGUUUUGUGGCUGCUGACUUUCUCGGUCUAGAGUACAGUCUGUAGCUUCUUACUUUUGCUCGCUUAUUGAUGUACUAAUGGUUAACAGAAGUGUCGAUAGGGGACUUGGAAGCAGCUACAACUAGGGAAGGAGAACUAGUGAAUUGAUCAAACAGAUGGAACUGUGAAUGCACACAUCAAAGCAAUAUCCUGUUGUUAACUGCAUCGUGUGUGUGGCAUCAGUGACUACUGUAAGACAAAUAAUUUUUCAUUCAGAUGCAGUGUUGAUUUUCCUGGGAGAGUUUAGUUUUAUGUGUACUAAAAAUAGUAAAACAAUAAUGCUAUAUCCUAAUGCUUUAUUAAAUCAAUGUGAUUUUGGCGGCAUUAUUCAGCAAGCACUGAUGUGCUUCUACUUGUACACAUAUCUUGUACUAUAAGAAGUUUAGAACCGAUGGAGUUGUAACUGUAUAAACCAUCCAAGUAGGUUGAACUAAUGUGUUCUUGUACAAUUUUCAAUCUAGCUGACAUGGAUACCAUAUUCAGUAGAAAUAUUUAACUAGGCAAAGCAUACCAUAUUCAAAGUUGCUUUAUCCUAUUUGUAGAGUUGCUCUAUCCGCACUGACCCCUUUUUGUGUUGCUCUUUUCAGAAGCAGGAUGAUGCAGGUGAUGUCUUUGCUCUAUGGGAAAGAACCGAUCGUCGCGUACAACUAUGCAACUUUUGAUCCACUACUAGGCAACUCUUUAUGAUAUCUUAUGCAACUCCAGUGACAAAAAAACACCCCUGGUAGCUUGUGAAACUUCUAGUCCAGUAUUUAGGCAACUACUAAUGCCAUUUUUUGGAAGAUCCUGGAACACUUAUAAAAAUGUUACUGGGCAACUCCACUGGAUAAACGAAAAUACAUAAUAAAUCUGGGCACUUUUGGUCCACCUUCGUCUUCCCCACAUGCUUCAUCUCUCUCGCCUCGUCGUCCACUACCUUCGUCUUUCCCCACGCAACCUAUCUCACACCUCACUGCCCUCCACCUACAUAGACUGUCCGAGAACGAGACACUAAGAUACGGACAAAGCCGGGACAGAAAUGCCGUUAGCCAGGACUGGACAUCCCCAAUACUGGCCCACACGCAGAGGAGACAAGGUCAAGGGGGCCCACCAGUGACGACCAUCACCACGGCACGGGCCAAUUGACCGUCACGGACACCUGGGAAGCAGGUUUCCACGAGCCAGAUCCAGCCGACGAGGAACCCCAAGACCCGUUGCCGACAAACCCUAACUCCCCCAACGGACAACCGAGACGUCGUCGGGUCCCUGCGCGCCACCACACGGACACCGUAGGCAAUGUCAGUGCACUUGAGUUGGAAAUAAAAAAUUCAGCAUUUUUUGGUGUUUUUGUGCAAAUCAAGUGCAUUCACCGGGAAACUCAUGUGUAGUCCCAACCUGACUUGGUACACCGACAAAGCAGCCAUAUAUAGAAGAAAAAACUAAAUUCACCAAGUCAGGCCUAUUGGUGGGAUACCAAACUUUGUGAUCAAUAUGCACUUAACGCCCUUGUCUAAAACAAGAAGGGGAAAAAGCAGGCAACUCCCCUGCUUGAUUGUAGGCAACUCUGAUUAUUUCUCAAAAAAACAACUUUGAUUUUGAUUGUAGGCAAGUCUAAAAUUAAAAUACUGUAGACUUGAUCUAUUAGUUAUUUAGGACAAAAGAAUGUAGACUUGAUCUAUUAGUUAUUUUGAUUAAAGGCAACAUAGUCAAUAGUAGUAUAAUUUUAUAAGUCAUUGAUCUCGGCAUUGACGAAUUUUAUGAGUACACAAUCACUAAAGCAAAAAAAUCUGAACCUGUCAGGCAACUAAGUAACCGAAACAAUGUGUACAAUACUUUAGGAUUCAUUAUGUGAGUUAUUUUGAGGCAACUACCUACAAUGUGUGGGCAAGUUUUGGCAAAAACUCACGCAACUAAGUAACAAAUGACACUGGAUUUUGCAAUCGUUUCCUGGCAUUGCUGUGACAUAAAUCUUACCGAGACAUUGCUGUGAUUUUAUCCCCUUUCCCCCAUAAAUUAUCCUGUAAGCUCUUUCUAAUACCGAGAUGCUCAGAUUCCCAGAUUAUUCAAGAAAAAAAGAGGAUCCUCUAACUAACCAUGCCACUGCGCCAGUUACUACGAGAAACCCAGCAUUCCUUUUCUGAAAUUAAAAGGAGAGCAAAGGUUACUACUAUUACCAUGUCACAUAGCUUCCACUAGAGUUCCAGUGACACACGAGGAAGACGGGGUACUCACGAAGACAAGGGGCCCGCCAAGCUAGCAGAGAAUAUGAGCUGCACGAGCGCGACAGCCUCCGGCGGCCAGCCAUAGUUUGACCUCGGCCCCUCUGAAAUCAGCAUGCUCCCACACCCCCUGUGAGGCCAAUAAGAGCUAGAUUCGAGUGGAAUAAAACACACCUGUGCGGGAAUCAACGAUGCUUACCCGUGAUUUGAGGCCCGAUUCCUCGACCGCUGAAGAUGGCACUUCUGGCUCUCACACUUCGCCGCUAGGAGUCGAGCUGCACAGACGCGCGGUGUCCCUCCCAUUCAAACCCUCGCUUCGUGGACGCGGUGGCAGAGAAGCGGCGGCCCCGGACGCCAGCCUUCUGCCUCCGCUUGGUGGUCACCGCACGCGGAGCUCAGGCCCCUCUAUCCUGGGUCGCCGAUUGGGUUGGGUUCUCUCCUCCCACUUCUAUAAUGCCUUCCCAAUCUCCGACGAACCUCUGGCAGCGCGCCUCGAAAUGAUGAAGCGGCGGUGGAUUUGGGCGAGGGGAUGAGGGGACCGCGGUGGUGGAUUUGGGAAAGGGUAAAGGAGAGUGGAGAGAGGCUGGGGGUUGUGGUGGGCCCCUGCAACCGGGG